AGAGUUUGAUCCUGGCUCAGAGCGAACGCUGGCGGCAGGCCUAAUACAUGCAAGUCGAGCGGAUCCUUCGGGAUCAGCGGCGGACGGGUGAGUAACGCGUGGGAACGUGCCCUUUGGUACGGAACAACUGAGGGAAACUUCAGCUAAUACCGUAUGUGCCCUUCGGGGGAAAGAUUUAUCGCCAUUGGAGCGGCCCGCGUUGGAUUAGGUAGUUGGUGAGGUAAAGGCUCACCAAGCCUACGAUCCAUAGCUGGUCUGAGAGGAUGACCAGCCACACUGGGACUGAGACACGGCCCAGACUCCUACGGGAGGCAGCAGUAGGGAA
rnacentral:rRNA from 1 species